UUUGAAUGUCCUGGUCUAUGUUUUCUACAUAACCCCAAAGAAAUAGUAACAGAAUGUAUCAUUGGGCCUUGUGCCUAUAAACUAAAUAACAACUUCAGCAACGGAUCUCUUGGCUCUCGCAUCGAUGAAGAACGCAGCGAAAUGCGAUAAGUAAUGUGAAUUGCAGAAUUCAGUGAAUCAUCGAAUCUUUGAACGCACCUUGCGCUCCUUGGUAUUCCGAGGAGCAUGCCUGUUUGAGUGUCAUUAAAUUCUCAACCUUUUACCAGCUUUUGUUGGUAAUGGCUUGGAUGUGGGGGUUUUUGCUGGCUUCGUCGAGAGGUCUGCUCCCCUAAAAUGCAUUAGCCGGUGCCCCGUGUGGACCGUCUAUUGGUGUGAUAAUUAUCUACGCCGUGGACGUCUGCUUUAAAUGGGUUGUGCUGCUUCUAACCGUCCAUUUACUUGGACAACAAAUGACAAUUUGACCUCAAAUCAGGUAGGACUACCCGCUGAACUUAA
rnacentral:rRNA from 1 species